CAGCCGCCGCGGUAAUACGAAGGGGGCUAGCGUUGCUCGGAAUGACUGGGCGUAAAGGGCGCGUAGGCGGCGAUCAAAGUCAGGCGUGAAAUUCCUGGGCUCAACCUGGGGGCUGCGCUUGAUACUUGGUUGCUUGAGUGGGGAAGAGAGUCGUGGAAUUCCCAGUGUAGAGGUGAAAUUCGUAGAUAUUGGGAAGAACACCGGUGGCAAAGGCGGCGACCUGGUCCUUGACUGACGCUGAGGCGCGAAAGCGUGGGGAGCAAACAGGAUUAGAUACCCGAGUAGUCCCUGUCUCUUAUAC
rnacentral:rRNA from 1 species